GGCCGUGUAGCUCAAUGGCAGAGCGUCUGACUACGAUAACGUCAUCAGUCAAGAUGACCUGUAAUCAGAAGGUCGCAGGUUCGACCCCUGUCUCGGUCA
rnacentral:tRNA from 1 species